rnacentral:rRNA from 1 species
UACGAAGGGGGCUAGCGUUGUUCGGAAUUACUGGGCGUAAAGGGCGCGUAGGCGGUGUGUCAAGUCAGGCGUGAAAGCCCCGGGCUCAACCUGGGAACCGCGCUUGAGACUGGCACGCUAGAGUUCGGGAGAGGAUGGUGGAAUUCCCAGUGUAGAGGUGAAAUUCGUAGAUAUCGGGAGGAACACCAGUGGCGAAGGCGGCGAUCUGGGAAGAUACUGACGCUGAGGUGCGAAAGCGUGGGGAGCAAACAGG